rnacentral:rRNA from 1 species
CCUACGAGGCGCAGCAGUGAGGAAUAUUGGUCAAUGGGCGUAAGCCUGAACCAGCCAAGUCGCGUGAGGGAUGAAGGUUCUAUGGAUCGUAAACCUCUUUUAUAAGGGAAUAAAGUGUGGGACGUGUCCUAUUUUGUAUGUACCUUAUGAAUAAGGAUCGGCUAACUCCGUCCCAACAGCCGCGGUAAUACGGAGGAUACGAGUGUUAUCCGGAUUUAUUGGGUUUAAAGGGUGCGUAGGCGGCCUUUUAAGUCAGCGGUGAAAGUCUGUGGCUCAACCAUAGAAUUGCCGUUGAAACUGGGGUGCUUGAUUAUGUUUGAGGCAGGCGGAAUGCGUGGUGUAGCGGU